GGUUCCUUCGUCUAACGGUUAGGACGGGAGAUUCUCAGUCUUCAAAUAGGGGUUCGAUUCCCCUAGGAACUAC
rnacentral:tRNA from 1 species